AUGGAAGCCGAGGCCUUCCCGAUACGGUUCACCAAGGGCAUACGGUCCUACUGGCGCCGGAGCAAGUACCAGCGCGUGGACGGCGCCACGGCGGGCCGGGGCACGCGCCACCUGGUGCGGCUCGGGGACGGCGGCAGCAGCGACGGCAAGGCGUGGGGCGUGCGGCUCGGCGGCAUGUUCCGGGUGCGCGUCAAGGCGCCGGCCUCGGCCGUGGCCGCGGCGAAGGCCCCGAAGCGCGUGCUUGGCCGGAUAAGGGACGCGUACGUGGACGCCAUGCUCGGCGCGGCCAAGAAGCACUCGGCGGCGACGCACACGCUGCCGAACGGGCCGACCCCGGAGGCGCUGUGGCAGAAGCGGGUGCCCGUGCGCCGGUCGCGCAGCCAGGCGCAGGUGCGGCAGAAGGCGGACGAGCUGGGCCAGAGGCUCGUCCUCGAGAUGUACAAGUCCGUGCGCGCGUCCAGGGACCUCGCGGGCAUGCUCGAAGCUUCAAGGGCGCGAUAG
rnacentral:rRNA from 1 species